AACCGGGACCUCCCCGCCAGGUCCUGUUGUUGCUGGAGAAGGGUAGCUGACAAACUCCAACUCAGCACAGUGUUUAUGUUGGUCAAAAAUAGGAAACUAUGUUCAGGCGCGGCGGAGGUGGGAGGAUCCCUUCAGGCCAGGCAGUCAAGAGCAGCCUGGGCAACAUGGCGCGACCCCAUCUCUGAAGUCCCACCUCAGCUUCCCAGCUACUUGAACUCCAAGGUUCAUGGCUCCAAUGAGCUAUGUUCCCACUACAUCACCCCAGCCUGCGAGACUGAGGAUAGAUCUUCAGUUCUCAUGACUACAGGAGGAUACUAAGGCUCAGACAGGAGAAGAGACGUGGCCAGCCUGUGUCCCCAGAGUCUAUGAUCUUACCACUAGGUUACAGUGCUUCUGGGGAGCACAUGUUGUGAGGUUUUUGCUUUAAAAUGAACCAAUAAAAAACAAAGGCAAAAAAGGCAUAAGCUAUUAAAAAGUGGGAGAAACACUAAGAGAACCUUAAGCACAUAACUAAAAAUAUUAUGGAAAAGUUAUUGAAUUCAUUAGCAAAUUUACUCUAAUUCUAGAUUUUCAUUGAGGGAUAUAUUACUCAUGAUGAAGAAAAAAAUGUUCAUUUCAAGUAUAUUAACAUAAAUACCAUCAAUAUGGUUUAUCAUGUUUAAAUGUUCACUUAAAGCAAUUCAGUUAAAAUUCUGCAUAUCAUACAAUAUUAUAGCUUGCUAGUAGAUUGCAAAGUAAAUAGUCAUCCAAAUAAAAACACCAAAGCACAUGAUGUUUUUCACUGGUUGUUGCUAUUUUUAGGUGAG
rnacentral:lncRNA from 10 species